rnacentral:rRNA from 1 species
GAGGGUUUGAUCCUGGCUCAGAUUGAACGCUGGCGGCAGGCCUAACACAUGCAAGUCGAGCGGAUGAAGGGAGCUUGCUCCUGGAUUCAGCGGCGGACGGGUGAGUAAUGCCUAGGAAUCUGCCUGGUAGUGGGGGAUAACGUCCGGAAACGGGCGCUAAUACCGCAUACGUCCUGAGGGAGAAAGUGGGGGAUCUUCAGACCUCACGCUAUCAGAUGAGCCUAGGUCGGAUUAGCUAGUUGGUGGGGUAAAGGCCUACCAAGGCGACGAUCCGUAACUGGUCUGAGAGGAUGAUCAGUCACACUGGAACUGAGACACGGUCCAGACUCCUACGGGAGGCAGCAGUGGGGAAUAUUGGACAAUGGGCGAAAGCCUGAUCCAGCCAUGCCGCGUGUGUGAAGAAGGUCUUCGGAUUGUAAAGCACUUUAAGUUGGGAGGAAGGGCAGUAAGUUAAUACCUUGCUGUUUUGACGUUACCAACAGAAUAAGCACCGGCUAACUUCGUGCCAGCAGCCGCGGUAAUACGAAGGGUGCAAG